rnacentral:ncRNA from 1 species
GCGCUUUCGGGAGACAUCGAUCCGCCGGAUUGUUCGGUCACAUCACUAGACCGGCGGGGAGUCAAUUGUGAGACCGGCCCGUUCGA